GUCUCGCGUCGCUAGUUGCCGCACACCAUCCGCCGUGCCUGCGCGGUUUCACUUUCCUCGCCAUUUCGUGCGUUCGUAACUUGUGCGAAGUUAUUCAAUACUGUGAAGUGAGUUUUUAAGUUUAUUCGGGACUUAAAUAGGGGUAACCAUGCCAUCACAGGUGAACGAAUGGUACCGCGGGCGCACUUUAUUCGUAACCGGCGCAUGCGGCUUGAUGGGCAAGGUGCUCAUCGAGAAGCUUCUAUACAGCGUGCCUGAUGUCGGCACAGUCUACGCCCUAGUCCGCUCCAAGAGGGGCAAGACGCCUGAAGCCAGGAUCGAGGAUAUGUGGAAACUGCCUCUGUUCGCAAGAAUAAGGGAGGAGAAACCACAUGUGAUGAAGAAGCUGGUCCCGGUUGUGGGAGACAUCGCCUACGAUAACCUCGGCAUCGAAGACAAGAUGCUGGAGAAACUCUAUGCAGAGGUAUCCGUGGUCUUCCAUUUCGCAGCCAGUCUCCGGCUGGAGGCUCCUCUGAAGGAAGGUCUGGAGAUGAACACUCGCGGCACCCUGCGAGUGCUACACGUGGCCAGUCGUAUGAAGAACAUUGCUGCUUUCCUCCACUUGUCCACCGCCUUCUGCUACCCGGACUAUGAGAGGAUGGCUGAAAGGGUACACGACCCUCCAGCGGACCCUCACAAAGUGAUGCGCGCAGCUGGUUGGCUGACAGACAAGCAGAUGGCGCUGCUAGCUCCCUCCAUCAUGGGCAAACACCCCAACUCUUAUACCUACUCCAAAAGACUGGCUGAAGCGCUGGUUCGGGAGUACUAUCCUCGACUGCCCGCUGCCGUCGUCAGGCCUAGUAUCGUGACCCCGUCAUACAAAGAGCCGACUCCGGGCUGGGUGGACAACCUGAACGGCCCCAUCGGCCUGAUGGUGGGCGCGGGCAAGGGCGUCAUCAGAUCCAUGCACUGCUACGGACACUACCACGCCGAAGUCAUCCCUGUCGACCUUGCCAUCAACGCUAUCAUCGUCAUCGCUCAUCGGAUUGGGACCAUGACGGAACGCCCGCCAGAAAUCCCAGUCUACAACAUAACCUCAGGAGACGACAAGAACACGACGUGGAAAGAUGUCUUGGACAUCGGCAAGGCAACGGUCAGGAAGUACCCAUUCGAAGGGCCCUUGUGGUACCCCGACGGGAAUAUACGACACAACAAGUUCAUUCAUGACCUCUGUGUGUUCUUCUACCACAUUGUGCCGGCGUAUCUGAUUGACUUUCUCAUGUUCGUGUUUAGGCAGAAGCGUUUCAUGGUCCGCAUCCAAAACAGGAUCACCGUAGGCCUGGAAGUUCUCCAAUAUUUCACGACUCGCGAGUGGUGGUUCGACACACACAACUUCAAGGGUCUACCAGCGACCCUGAAUGCUGAAGACUUCAAGACCUUCCCGAUGGAUGUGACUGUCAUUCAAGAUGUUCCGUACAUCGAGAGCUGUAUGAUCGGCGGGAAACUGUACUGCCUGAAGGAGAAGCUUGAGGAUCUACCUAAGGCGAGACUUCAGAAUAAUAUCCUGUACGUGCUAGACAGGAUCGUCACAAUUUUCUUCUACCUCCUGCUGGUCUACUGGAUCGUGUCAUACUUCGAGCCUGCGCGGGAGUUGCUCUCCUACGGCGGGCCCGUCGUCAGAUACCUGCCUUUAGUCGGCAAAGCCGUGUUUAAAGACGAAUAUUUGUAGGUACUUUAAUACUCGGUACUUACUGUGUUAUUUGUGGCUUUAAAACGAAACAAUAAAUAAAUUAAUGUAAUUAUAAACAUUGUAUACAGACAAUAAGGUAUGAAUUAUGUUACUAAGUAUAGGCUUUCUGAAAUAACCCGAGAUGAGUCCGACGCCUUGUCGGUGUAGCAUUCUUCAUUAUUGUCUAGCAAAGGUCAAUUAUUUCACUUCCUUAUAAGACACGACGUUCACCUUCUCUUUAAUCUGUUCCAUGUAAGCUCUUCUUGGUCUUCCCCUUCCUCUCUUUCUUGUAGCUUCCCUUCUAUGAUGUUUGUAAUAAAUUCGUCGUGUCUUAUUAAGUGUCCAAUCAUCGGCCUCUUCUGUCCUCAAUAACUCACAAUAUUUGCCUCUUUUCCGUUACUCUUACUAGCACUUCCUCAUUAGUAACCCUUUCAGUCCAACUUAUUCUUUCCAUCCUUCUUCAACACCACAUUUCAAAGGCAUCUUCUCUCUGUCUUUCUGUGUCUGUCCAAGUUUCACAUCCAUAGAGGGCUAUGCUCCAUACGAAUGUUUUGAUGCAUCGUUUUCUGAUUGGUUUGGCUAUCUUAGCCUUGAAUAUAUACGGUCAUGAG
rnacentral:misc_RNA from 1 species